GAUGAAGAACGCAGCGAAACGCGAUAUUUCUUGUGAAUUGCAGAAUUCAGUGAAUCAUCGAAUCUUUGAACGCACCUUGCGCUCCUUGGUAUUCCUCGGAGCAUGCCUGUCCGAGCGUCAUUGCUGCCCUCAAGCACGGCUUGUGUGUUGGGCCUCCGUCCUCCUCCCGGGGGACGGGCCCGAAAGGCAGCGGCGGCACCGCGUCCGGUCCUCGAGCGUAUGGGGCUUCGUCACCCGCUCUUGUAGGCCCGGCCGGCGCUUGCCGACACAUCAAUCUUUUUUCCAGGUUGACCUCGGAUCAGGUAGGGAUACCCGCUGAACUUAAGCAUAUCAAUAAGCGGAGGA
rnacentral:misc_RNA from 1 species